UAGAGGGGUUUAUAGACAUGAUCAAAUACAGGAUCAGAGUGUUUGGAGGAGCUCUAACCCUAACCCCUGGUUGAAGAGGAGGAGGAUAUGUGACCUUUAAAGUGUCUGAAUGGAUCUUUGUCUCGAUUAAGGCUUUUUUAAAGAAAAGGUAAAAACUAAAAGUGGAUCAGUACUUUGUUAAAUAUUUGUUGAUGUAAGUUCUUGAUUUUUAUCAUCUUUAAUCUGAAGCUUUGACUCUUUGGUCUGUCGUCUGGUUUAUCAGAGUCAGAAACCUCAGAUCGGAUCCGUCAGAGGACGCCUUCUCCUCGGCUCCUUCUCACACUUUAUUGGAUGAGGAGACCACAUGGCCCCGCCCCUUGCUGACCUUCAACCAAUAAGAUCUGAGAACGAAGACUCUAAAUAUUCUCCCUUUACUCCUCUCACAGGCCAGAAGAUUAAGACUGAAACAAAGUGCCGAGGUGUAGACAACCCGGACAGGUGAACUCUCACCUGUCCUGUUUGUUGAUCAGAACCAGGACUGAGAGAGAGGAGCUGAACAUGUGGUCCCUUUGUUUUUCUUUUUACUUUGAUUAUCCACUAAGACUCCCUGCUCUAAAACACACCUGUGUCACCUUUCAGGUAAAACAGUAGUGAUUGUAUAUCAGGUGUGUUUCCCUCGUGCAGUCACAUGACGUCAGACAGGUGAACACAGAACCGCUCCGACGGAUGAACAAUGAUCUGGUUUUCCAUCUUAAAGUUCUGGACAAAAAUAAAACUGAAGAAAAAACAAACAAAAAC